AGACUGCUGGUUUAAAAAAGAGAGGUCCAUCCAGCAGGGAUGAUGCUUUUCCUCGUUGAAAGAGGACAUUCACCUAAUGGGAGACCUGGAGUCAGAAUCUUUCUGAUGUGUGACUUGGCACAGUAACACAAUGCAGGAUGCUGGUGUGUUAAUAAAAAUAAAAAUUGCAUCGCCUACCUCAGAGUCGACAACAAUGUCAAGGAGUUAAUAGUCUUGGCAACACAGAGGCCACUGGACAGAGGCAUAACCUUGCGUGGCAGCUGCACGGGAAUUGGAUUUGGCUCAGGUGUUUCAGAUGACUAAGAACAAAGGGGACCACUCUUGGUAUAGAAGUUCAUCUCGUCGGGAGCAUCUGUGGUUCUUUUAUAAGCAAUGUACAUUCUACAAUAGAGGCAGACCCAGAAAUAAUUCAGAUAUUGGAGUUAGAAGAUCAGGAUUCUAAAAAAACCAAAAGAUCCUGCCUUACUAUGCACCUAUGGCCCUUCAAAGGCGAGAGUAGAAUCUGCUAUGAUUUAGAAGCAAGCAAUAAAAAGUACACAUCAGCCCCACGGACUGGCAUGAGACUCAGGCCUGGCCAACUGAAUGUCACACACCUAUGACCAUCAGUUGGCUCAGAGAUGGACUCAGGACACCAUCACAGCCAAUGAAACCCUGUUAGGGAAAUUUGUCAGAACCAUACAAAGAAAUAGCUCCACUUUUCCAUAGAGAUGAGACAUAAGCCUGGACUAACUGGUGUCCAAUUUGCCAUCAAGAGAGCAUCUGAGAAGACAGAGGAAAACUGGGGAAAGCGAAGUCUAAGGAAGUUACUGUGUGUUAGGAGUUCCAGCACGGUUUACCUGGAUCCUCUGCUCAGGCUCCAACCAGGCUGCAAACAAGGUGUUGGACAGGCUGCUUUCUCACCUGAAGACUGGACUAGGGAAGAAUCCACUUCCAAGCUCAUUCAAGUUGUUGGUCGAAUUCAUGUCCUCGAGUCUGCAUGAGUGAGGUCCCAGCUCUUACUGACUUUAAUCCUCAGGUCCUAGAGGUGGCUCCCACUUUCCUGCCACUUGGCACUAUCCACAGGGGCUUAACCAGGUGGCUGUUUGCUUCUUCAAGGCCAUCAGGAGAAUUUCUCUCCUGGUUUGCUAAGAUAGAGCCUUAUAUAAUAAAACAUAAUCACAAGAGUGACAUUUCAGCACCUUUACAUAACUACAUAACUUUACAUAACAUAAACCAACCUAAUCAAGGGAGUGUCCUUCCAACAACUUUGCCACACUGCGUUGGUUGCAAGUAAGUCACAAACCCACACUCAAGGGGAUUACACAAGAGUGGAUUAUUGGGGUCUCCUUAAAGCAUGUCCUCCACUAUCUACUUUGAAACUUCUUUACAAAGCUUUCAUUUUGAUGAUUUGUUUCAGAUGACUGAAGCCCACUCUCAUUAAAACUAUUUGGAAACUGCUGUCUAGUGACAUUAUAUUAAAGCCAAUCUGUUUAAACAAGAAAGAGCAGUGCUCCCACUUGGUAGGAGAUAAGACUCCUUACAGCCUCAGCUAUCAACAACAUGGCUUAUGCUAUUUCUUUAUGUACAUAUCUAUAUAUGUCCAGUGCAUGCCAAAUAAGGUCUGUAAGCGUUGAAACAUAAUAAUAAAAUGAACUCAGGUACCCUCAUUCCAAUUUAAGAGCUAAACCAUUAUGAACUCCAUUCUAUCUACCUAUGUAUUUCUUCUUAUGCCAUUCCCCUACCUCCCAGAGGUAACCAACCAUUCAGUUGCUAUAAUUCAUUUGCCUUUUUGAUAAUUUUGUGACACACAUAUUUAACAAUAAAGGAGUGGUGUGCUAUUGCUAACUUCUGAACUAUAAUAAUGGCAUCACAUACCGCAAAGUGUUCUGAGGUUAGCUUUUUCCACACAACGUUAUGUUUUUGAGAUUGAGCUCUGCUGCUUCUCCUAGCUGUAGAUCAAUCAUUUCCACUCGCACAAUUCCACUGUGCAAAGAUGACACAAAUAAGUAGACGUUUUUAUCAAUGGGCAUUUCAGUUCUUUUCAUUUUUCACUGCCAUGAAUACUGCUGCCGUGAACAUUGUCAUGCAUCUCCUAGUACUCAUAUGCAAGUAUUUUUUUUCUGGCGUAUGCACCUAAAAGUAAAAUCACUGAGUCUUAGGGUAUGCAAAUAUUCAACUUUACAAGGAAUGACAAAUUGUUUUCCAAAGCAAACUCUUAUCAGCAACUUAUGAGUUCCUUUAACCUAUUUUCUCCUCAACCAGACUUCUUCAUAUGGCCAAUUUAGAAGCUAUAAAAGGGUAUUUUAUUUUUAUCUUACUUUGUAUUUUUUG
ensembl:lncRNA TESHL testicular germ cell expressed HSF2 interacting lncRNA